CGGGAGACGUUCUCUCGGCCAAAGCCAAAGCUCCGAGAGCCCUUGCUGCUGUCUGCCUCGAUCUCGUCGAGCAGCUGCGCAAACUCCUCGUCCUUCAAGGCCUGCACGGGAGGGGCCACCGGAGCUCCUGGCGGCCAGCCUGGCUCCCCCUCGGAGUUCAUGUUCCUCGGGCUCGCGAUCGCCGGCCUGGAAGGGAGCAGGUGC
rnacentral:SRP_RNA from 14 species